GCAGGUCUUUGCAUGUUGGUAGCUGACGCUGAUUCAAUAUUUGCACCAAGAAGCAUACCACGCACACCCUCAGUGUUAAGACUGUUACCCAGGUGACUGACGGCUGUUGUCACAUUUGGCUGUGAAGUUCUUCAUGAAGUUUUUCUUGGUGACUGGUAACAUUUCUGACAUCAGAUGGAAAGGAUCCAUGCCAGGCUUAGUUUUUCCUCUCCAUGCUGAUUCCAGUCCAGUGAACCAUCACAGUCUGGAAACUUAUAGCUGCCUGGUCUUCUAAGAGAAAUCCAUUCUUUGGUGACUGAUGGAACUCAUCACUCCCCACUGCUAAUUAAAGAACCUGGCCUUAUCUAAAUCACCACCCAUUAAUCAGUGAUUACUUGUUAUCAAAGCUCUAAGGUGCGCAUGAUGCAACUUCUUGGAUGGUAUGUAGGAUGUUUGUCAACAUGUGAAUCCUAUGUGUAUUUUGGAGUUAAGUGUUGGACAACUGGAGCCCUGCCUUGUAUUUCUCAAACUGGAGCUGUUGGGAUGGAGUCCAGAGACAUUUUCCCUAUAGCUGUCUUUCCAAGAAUUCUAAUGGAGCCUGGAACAGUCAGUUUGGAGAUAUUUUCGCUUUAUGUGUUCUUCCAAGUUUUCCCAUUUUGUGGUGAGAUAGACUUAGGAGAUAUUUUUGCUUUUCGUGUGAGAUAGACUCAGGAGAUAUUUGCGCUUUUUGUGUGAGAUAGACUCAGGAGAUAUUUGCGCUUUUCCUGUGAGAUAGACUCAGGAGAUAUUUGCGCUUUUCCUGUGAGAUAGACUCAGGAAAUAUUUGCGCUUUUCAUGUGAGAUAGACUCAAGAGAUAUUUUUGCUUUUCCUGUGAGAUAGACUCGGGAGAUAUUUGCGCUUUUCCUGUGAGAUAAACUCAGGAGAUAUUUUACCUUUCUGUGUUCUUCCAAGAAUUACCAUUUAACCAAGAGCAGAGCAUUGUAACCACCAGAAUACUCUUUGACAAAACUUUUUAAAGUUUUGAAUAUUGUUGGAAUUUGAUGUAUUAUUUAUUGUAUUUUAUAUCUUGGAUUGAGAGAAUUCAUGGUAGUAUUUGUAUUAUUGCAGACAUUGGUUUUCAACAUAUUAUAUCAAUAUUGUAAACGUUACAGUUUCUAUUAUAAAUCAGGGGGUUAUAGGGGCUAUACGGGAAUAUCAUAAUAUUGUAUACUUAAUAGUUUCUAUUAUACAUCGGGGUUACUGGGGCUAUGUGAAGAUCAGUGUAGUAUACUUUACAGU